rnacentral:rRNA from 1 species
AUGGCCGCCGCGUCCCUGGCUUUCGUGGCGCGCCGCGGCGAGCCGGAGCUGGUCGCGCCGGCCGGGCCGACGCCGCGCGAGCUCAAGCGGCUCUCGGACCUCGACGACCAGGAGAGCCUCCGGUUCUACCGCUCCGUCAUCUACUUCUACCGGGGCCGCCCCUCGCGGGCGCGCGCCGACCCGGCCAGGGUCAUACGUGACGGUCUGGCCGCCGCGCUCGUGCACUACUACCCCAUCGCCGGGCGGCUUCGCGAGCUGCCCGGCAGGAAGCUCGCGGUGGACUGCACGGGCGAGGGGGUGUGGUUUGUCGAGGCUGACGCGGACGUCGCGUUGGACGAAUUCGGCGACACCCUGUGCCCGCCGGUCCCUUGCGCCGGCCAGCUCCUGUGCUUGCCGGAGAGCAACUCCGCCGUCGUUGUCGAUCGUCCACUGCUCUACGUUCAAGUGACGAGGUUGAGGUGCGGAGGCUUCGUGUUCGGCAUCCAGGUGUGCCAUAACCUGGUGGACGCGCCGGGCGUCACGCAGUUCCUGCAGGCCGUCGGUGAGCUGGCGAGCGGCAUGGAGGCGCCAAGCGUGCGGCCGGUGUGGGCAAGGGAGCUGCUCGACGCGCGCGACCCACCGUGCCCCAACUACCAACACCCCGAGUACGAGCUCGCGGCCGACGCGGCCAACGACAGGCUCCGUCCGGGCGGCGAGCUCGUGCACCGGGCAUUCCUCUUCGGCCCCGAGGAGUUGUCCUCGCUGAGGGACCAGCUACCGCCGCGGAUGAGGUCGCGGUGCUCCCGGUUCCUGCUCCUGUCGGCGUUCGCGUGGCGCUGCCGGACCGCGGCGCUCGGGUACGAGCCCGGCGACGAGGUGCGGUUCAUGUUCGUGGUGAACGCCCGCGGGAAGCGCGGCUGCCCGCUCCCCGAGGGGUUCUACGGGAACGCGCUCACCUUCGGCGUGGCGCGGACGACGGCCGGCGAGCUCUGCUCGGGACCGCUGGGCCGCGCCGUGGAGCUGAUCGUGGCUGCCAAGGCGCGGGUCGCCGCCGACGACUACGCGCAGUCGGUGGCCGACGCGCUGGUGCUGCGCGGGCGGCCGCGGUUCACGACGGCGUGGACGUAUCUUGUGACGGAUCUGACUAAGUCGAACCUGCACGAGGUGGACCUCGGGUGGGGCCUUCCGGUGUACGGCGGGCCGGCCACGACGACGCUGGCCACGUUCCACAUUCCUGCGGCGGCCGGAGGGAUCACCGUGCCGAUGUGCCUGCCUCCGCGCGCCAUGGAGAGGUUCGCGGCCAAUGUGCGCGCGGGGCUCUCGGAGGCUUCUUCGCACCGUGGGCGUUCUAGUGCCGUGGAGUCGACCGUGCUUUCCAAGAUGUAG